rnacentral:rRNA from 1 species
UAGGGAAUCUUCCACAAUGGACGCAAGUCUGAUGGAGCAACGCCGCGUGAGUGAAGAAGGUCUUCGGAUCGUAAAGCUCUGUUGUUGGUGAAGAAGGAUAGAGGCAGUAACUGGUCUUUAUUUGACGGUAAUCAACCAGAAAGUCACGGCUAACUACGUGCCAGCAGCCGCGGUAAUACGUAGGUGGCAAGCGUUGUCCGGAUUUAUUGGGCGUAAAGCGAGCGCAGGCGGAAUGAUAAGUCUGAUGUGAAAGCCCACGGCUCACCAUGGAACUGCAUCGGAAACUGUCAUUCUUGAGUGCAGAAGAGGAGAGUGGAACUCCAUGUGUAGCGGUGGAAUGCGUAGAUAUAUGGAAGAACACCAGUGGCGAAGGCGGCUCUCUGGUCUGCAACUGACGCUGAGGCUCGAAAGCAUGGGUAGCGAACAGGAUUAGAUACCCUGGUAGUCCAUGCCGUAAACGAUGAGCGCUAGGUGUUGGGGACUUUCCGGUUCUCAGUGCCGCAGCAAAUCGCAUUAAGCGCUCCGCCUGGG